CCUCCGGGCCCGGGAUUAGCGACCUGGGAGCCCGCGUCCCGCGGCCUCGCCGCCACACUUUCCCGGGAGCGGCGGCCACGGCGGCACCAUGAGGAAGUCGUACUCAGGAGUCACGCGGACCUCCAGCGGCCGUCUCCGGAAGCUUGGUGACCCGACUGGCCCAGGUAAGUGGCUGGUUCAGCCUUGGCCCCCUUCGUCUGUGUGGGGCGGGAGGGACUGCCCACUGGCUCAGAAGCGACUCUCCAGGCGCAGGCCGGCCUGGGCAGGUGGGGUGGAGGGGCCCCGGGUUCGGCCUCUCCACCUCGGGGCCCCGGGCCCAGUCUGCCGCUUCUCCUGGCCCGGUGUGUCCGGCCUCCCAGACCUGACCCCAGGGGGGCCAUCCCCAGAGCCUACCUUGUGUCUUGUUGUCACAUGCAGUGGCCAAGCACAGGGGCUGGAGGAUGUUGGCGCCCAGAGGGGGAAGGAGCUGCAUCCCCCAGGCAAUGACAGCAGUGCGUUGACGACAGGCUGGGGGCAGACCCUGGGCAGGACGGGCAGCGGGACGUGGUGGUGACAUAGUGGCUGUUCUAGAAGGGGGUGCCCACCCGGAGCCCACACCCCACCUGCUAGACCAGCUUUGUCCAGGAAAACGUACUGUGUCAGUGGAAGCGUUCGUAUCUGCCCCAUCCAGGCGGGUCGCCCCCCGCCGCAGGUGACUGUUGAGCUCCUGAAGGGACAUCGUUAAGUUUAUUUUGUUCAUUGACUUGCGUAGAGUUAUUUAUUUUUUGUGAAUUUCUACUUAAUAUCUACACAUGGCUGGUGGCUGUGAAAUUGGUUCCAGACCAUGCAGGGUCUCCAGGACCCCAGAAUUUUGUACCCAGAUGUUUCCAGGCCUCCUUCCCAGAUGUCUCUGUUCCCCGGCAGUGGCCCCUGCCAGUGGGCUGGGCAUCCCUAGGCAGCUCUUUGUGGGGAGUGGGGGAGGGUGGGGGUGACGGGAGGUGACGUGUGAUGGCCAGGCUGGACGUCCACAUGAGAGGGGAGGAGGCCCCUGCGGUGCUGGCCGGGCCCGAGGCCUCGGGGCGGUGGGUGAUUCACGGUGGUUGAGGGGGAGCCCCGCCCCCUGCAGACCAGCCUGCACCGACCGCAGGGCUGCCCGGCUGCUGCUGGGCUCCUGCCGCUUUUCUUGGGGCCCCUCGUCCCUGCAGCUGUCUGCCUGUCCCUCUCGCCCCCUGGGCUGGGGCGAGGGGCCCUCAGCAUGAUGGGCAGGGAGGGCCUGCGCCCUGGGAGUGAGGUCUCCGUGCGCGGGCGCCUUGGGCCGCGUGGACACAGCCUCUGCUGGCCUUUGCCUCCCUGUGCUCAGAGGGCCAGUUCUGUGCCAUCAGCACUUGGCGGCUGGGACCACGGAUCCCCUUGGAAGCCUAAGGCAUAAUUUGCCCGAGCCCAGAGCUGCAAGCCGAGAUGUGGGUUUCGCUGGGGCCCGCCUGCUGAUACGCGAACUCCUCGCUCUGGGGAACUCUGCGGGCGCCAGCUCAGACACCCUUUCCUCCUCUUCCUGGCGCCUGAAUGGAAUCCCUGCCUCCCAGAGGUAGGACCUUGGUCCAGCCCCUCUGACCUCACAGAAUCCCCUUCGGAGCCUCUGUCCAUCCCCCAGCCCGCAGCCUGUCCUCUGUCACCCGCUCUGCCUCAUCUCCCACGUCUGCGACCCUGCGCCCGGGUCUCCUCCCCAGAGGACAGAGGCCCACGUCGUGGUGCUUCCUCCUUUAUUUCAGGUUUUCUCGAGGCUGCGGCUGGGACGGGGCCCCCAGAGAGAGAAUUGCAUGUAUCUGCUGGCGUCCCCUGCAGAACCCAGAUCGUAGCUUGCAGCUUCUGGCAUGAGCCGGUCUGUCAGCUCAGACCACACCCACGGUCAGCCCUUUGAGCUGAGCUCAGUCACUUUCCUGUCUUCUUAAACCUCCCCCCCUCAAAAAAACCCCACGAAAACAGAUUCCCUGGUGGCCUAGCAGUUAAGGAUUUGGCGUCGUCACUGAUGUGGCACAGGUUCUAUCUCUAGCCUGGAAAUUUCCGCAUUCUACGUGUGCAGCCAAAAAAA